UACGUAGGGGGCGAGCGUUAUCCGGAUUUAUUGGGCGUAAAGCGUGUGUAGGCGGUUUGUUAAGUCUGAGAUUAAAGCCCGAGGCUCAACCUCGGUUCGUUUCAGAAACUGGCAGACUUGAGUAUGGUAGAGGCAAAUGGAAUUUCUAGUGUAGCGGUAGAAUGCGUAGAUAUUAGAAGGAACACCAGUGGCGAAGGCGGUUUGCUGGGCCAUUACUGACGCUCAUGCACGAAAGCGUGGGGAGCAAAUAGG
rnacentral:rRNA from 1 species